GAUGAACGCUGGCGGCGUGCCUAAUACAUGCAAGUCGAGCGAACGGACGAGAAGCUUGCUCCUCUGAUGUUAGCGGCGGACGGGUGAGUAACACGUGGAUAACCUACCUAUAAGACUGGGAUAACUUCGGGAAACCGUAGCUAAUACCGGAUAAUAUUUUGAACCGCAUGGUUCAAAAGUGAAAGACGGUUUUGCUGUCACUUAUAGAUGGAUCCGCGCUGCAUUAGCUAGUUGGUAAGGUAACGGCUUACCAAGGCAACGAUGCAUAGCCGACCUGAGAGGGUGAUCGGCCACACUGGAACUGAGACACGGUCCAGACUCCUACGGGAGGCAGCAGUAGGGAAUCUUCCGCAAUGGGCGAAAGCCUGACGGAGCAACGCCGCGUGAGUGAUGAAGGUCUUCGGAUCGUAAAACUCUGUUAUUAGGGAAGAACAAAUGUGUAAGUAACUAUGCACGUCUUGACGGUACCUAAUCAGAAAGCCACGGCUAACUACGUG
rnacentral:rRNA from 1 species